UUCCGGUUGAUCCUGCCGGAGGUUACUGCUAUCGGUGUUCGCCUAAGCCAUGCGAGUCAUAUGUAGCAAUACAUGGCGUACUGCUCAGUAACACGUGGAUAACCUGCCCUUGGGACCGGCAUAACCCCGGGAAACUGGGGAUAAUUCCGGAUAACGCAUAUGUGCUGGAAUGCUUUAUGCGUAAAAUGGAUUCGUCUGCCCAAGGAUGGGUCUGCGGCCUAUCAGGUAGUAGUGGGUGUAAUGUACCUACUAGCCAGCGACGGGUACGGGUUGUGAGAGCAAGAGCCCGGAGAUGGAUUCUGAGACAUGAAUCCAGGCCCUACGGGGCGCAGCAGGCGCGAAAACUUUACAAUGCGGGAAACCGUGAUAAGGGGACACCGAGUGCCAGCAUCAUAUGCUGGCUGUCCAGGUGUGUAAAAUACACCUGUUAGCAAGGGCCGGGCAAGACCGGUGCCAGCCGCCGCGGUAACACCGGCGGCCCGAGUGGUGAUCGUGAUUAUUGGGUCUAAAGGGUCCGUAGCCGGUUUGGUCAGUCCUCCGGGAAAUCUGAUAGCUCAACUAUUAGGCUUUCGGGGGAUACUGCCAGACUUGGAACCGGGAGAGGUAAGAGGUAC
rnacentral:rRNA from 1 species